rnacentral:rRNA from 1 species
GCAUGCCGCGGUGAAUACGUUCCCGGGUCUUGUACACACCGCCCGUCACACCACGAGAGUUUACAACACCCGAAGUCGGUGGGGUAACCCGCAAGGGGGCCAGCCGCCGAAGGUGGGGUAGAUGAUUGGGGUGAAGUCGUAACAAGGUAGCCGUAUCGGAAGGUGCGGCUGGAUCACCUCCUUUCUAUGGAGA